rnacentral:rRNA from 1 species
GACGAACGCUGGCGGCGUGCUUAACACAUGCAAGUCGAACGGAAAGGCCCUGCUUUUGUGGGGUGCUCGAGUGGCGAACGGGUGAGUAACACGUGAGUAACCUGCCCUUGACUUUGGGAUAACUUCAGGAAACUGGGGCUAAUACCGGAUAGGAGCUCCUGCUGCAUGGUGGGGGUUGGAAAGUUUCGGCGGUUGGGGAUGGACUCGCGGCUUAUCAGCUUGUUGGUGGGGUAGUGGCUUACCAAGGCUUUGACGGGUAGCCGGCCUGAGAGGGUGACCGGCGACAUAGGGACUGGGAUACGGCGCAGACUCCUACGGGAGGCAGCAGUGGGGAAUAUUGCACAAUGGGCGGAAGCCUGAUGCAGCAACGCCGCGUGCGGGAUGACGGACUUCGGGUUGUAAACCGAUUAAGCCUGUGACGAAGCGUGAGUGACGGUAAUGGGUAAAGAAGCACCGGCUAACUACGUG